rnacentral:rRNA from 1 species
GACGAACGCUGGCGGCGUGCUUAACACAUGCAAGUCGAACGGAAAGGCCCUGCUUGCUGGGUCCUCCGGGUGCGAAGUGGUGAGUAACACGGGGGUGAUCUGCCCUCCACUUCUUGAUAAGGCUUGGAGACGGGGUCUAAUACCGGAUAGGGGCUAUGUUUAGUGGGAUGGUUGGAAAGUUUUUUGGGCGUAGGAUGAGCUGGCGGCCUAUCGGCGGGUUGGUGGGGUAAUGGCCUACCGAGGCGGCGAGGGGUAGCCGGCCUGAGAGGGUGGACGGCCACAUUGGGACUGAGGUACGGCCGCGACUCCUACGGGAGGACGAAGUGGGGAAUAUUGCACCAUGGGCGCCAGCCUGAUGCAGCGACGCUGCGUGGGGGAUGACGGCCUUCGGGUUGAAAAAUACUUUCGCUAGGGACGACGCUUUUUGUGACGGUACCUAGAUAAGAAGCACCGGCUAACUACGUG